rnacentral:misc_RNA from 1 species
GAUGAAGAACGUAGUGAAAUGCGAUAAGUAGUGUGAAUUGCAGAAUUCAGUGAAUCAUCGAAUCUUUGAACGCACAUUGCGCCCCAUGGUAUUCCGUGGGGCAUGCCUGUUCGAGCGUCAUUUACCCCCUCAAGCUCCGCUUGGUGUUGGGCGUCUGUCCCGCUUCGCGCACGGACUCGCCCCAAAGGUAUUGGCAGCGGUCGUGCCAGCUUCUCGCGCAGCACAUUGCGCUUCUCGAGGCACCGGUGGGCCCGCGUCCAUCAAGCUCACCCCCCCAGUUUGACCUCGGAUCAGGUAGGGAUACCCGCUGAACUUAAGCAUAUCAAUAAGCGGAGGA